ensembl:lncRNA novel transcript
AUACACUCCCAGAGCUGCUCACCAGGCAGCUAGAUUGAGGGUGAGGUUAGAGUGGCACAUGGCUCUGUACCCCAUUGGGUACCUCCAGCAGGCCGGGCACUGCAGCCCCUUGGCCUCCGGCACUCUGCGAGGGAACAUGCUGGCAUGAGUUUGCUGGUCCCGAUGGGGAAGAGUCAGGGAUCCCUGAGAGAGCCUGUCAGGAGGAGAGAAGGGACGCCGGGGUGAAAGGGAGGAAGGAGGUGGCAGAAGAGGCCUCGAGGAUGACGUGGGGCUGUAGAUGCAGGAGGCAGCUGGAGCCUGUGGCACUGGGGCAUGGCGGGCCUCAAGGAUUUCACUGCCACCCUUGCCGAGGAGGGUACCCUGAGGUAGGUGCACCCCUCUGUGCAGUCAGGGAUGUAGGGGAGAGGCUCAGGGAAGUCUGGGGACCUCCCAAGCCACAGAUCUGGGCCCUGUUUCCUCUUUGUAUAGUCCCAGAGCAGGACUCAGGGGUGCUCAGAGAGCUCUCGCCCCUAAAACUCCACCACGGCCCCUCCCUCCACCCCAAGGCUAAAGCCCCGGCCAGACCCCCUGGCCAAGUGCCUGAGUUCUCCAUGGCCCUUGGCUGUUCGAGGCAGGCAAGAGCCCAUCCUGCCUGAACCCCAGUUCCCAGCUCCCAGCUCAGGGUGGGGAGAAAUCAGGGUUCCCCCAGUGCCAUCUAAUCAGUGGUGAUGCACCAGCUGCCCUCGCUGGGGCCAGAUCCCUGGCUUCUUCCUGCAUGAUCCCUAGGCUUCCUCCCAAGGAGCUGGUGGUCAGAAUUCCUCAGCAGGUGAACAGAAAGCCAGGAAAACAUCUUCCCAGGGACCUUGCCCAGCCCCAGGUGCAGCUGUUGUUCUGGAAAAUUACUGCACUGCAUUUCAGAAGCAUCUCUAAUCCCCAAAUCUGUCAUCGCCUUGCCCACCCUGGCCCAGCUUUUGUAAAAGGGCAAAGAGAAGAGCAGGUGAGAAUCAAUUCACAGAAUCGCAGCCGUUCUGCCCCCUUCAGCUUCCAGCUCGGGCUCGCCUGGGAGCUGAGCCGCACCGGCUCUCUCUUUUGUCUGAAACAAGCAGCAGGAUUGUUUUGCUCAGUGUUGUCAGAGUUGUUUUUAAACAGCCGCCCAUCGUGCUGCAGGGAGGGAGGGCGAGACACAUGUGGAUCAACAAUGAGAUGGGUCUUGGCCUCGGGACGGGAUGCCCGGGUCGGGGAGUGCAGCUUUGAUCUGGCAGGCCGGCCUGAAGAACAAAGCCGGUCUCCUGGUCCCUCCUCGGCUGUGCCCAGCUGCACUCACUCUGAAGCUGAAUCUUGGCAGUUGUGAUUCUUCUGCUGGCAAAACGGAGAUGGCAGGCCCCCUGGGUCUGGGCUGUUGAAUGCCACGCGGGCAGGGGGCCUCUCCUUCCCCCACUGGCACGGGCUGUUGGAAACCCGUCAGUUCGGACUCUGAGCUGUGCCCCCCAACAGACAACAUAAUAGGACCCAAAUCAGAUACUCGUGAGCCAGGCAGUGACUUGGGCUCGCUUUGAUUGGUGUGUGAGGCACAAAUAAACAGAAAAUGUCUAUAAACUU